rnacentral:rRNA from 1 species
GAUGAACGCUGGCGGCGUGCUUAACACAUGCAAGUCGAACGGAAAGGCUCCUGCUUGCAGGGGUACUCGAGUGGCGAACGGGUGAGUAACACGUGGGUGAUCUGCCCUGCACUUCGGGAUAAGCCUGGGAAACUGGGUCUAAUACCGGAUAGGACGAUGGUUUGGAUGCCAUUGUGGAAAGUUUUUUCGGUGUGGGAUGAGCUCGCGGCCUAUCAGCUUGUUGGUGGGGUAAUGGCCUACCAAGGCGUCGACGGGUAGCCGGCCUGAGAGGGUGUACGGCCACAUUGGGACUGAGAUACGGCCCAGACUCCUACGGGAGGCAGCAGUGGGGAAUAUUGCACAAUGGGCGCAAGCCUGAUGCAGCGACGCCGCGUGGGGGAUGACGGCCUUCGGGUUGUAAACCCCUUUCGCUAGGGACGAAGCGCAAGUGACGGUACCUGGAGAAGAAGCACCGGCUAACUACGUG